rnacentral:lncRNA from 1 species
ACAAGGAGAAACGUGGCUCCUCUAGGUGAGCAGCCCUCAGUGCGCAUCUCCCUGAAGUCCACAUUGAUCCGGCAGAGCUGUGGGGUUCACAGCUCACACUGAGGCAUUCAGGGCCUAAACCCCACUUUACUCUUUUGUACAAUGAAUGGGAAAUCAGUGAUCUAAAUGAGUUUAAAUCUUAUUAGGGAUUCAGACUGCCCUUCAGACUCUGUCUCUAUUCCUCCCAGAGCUGGGUUCAACAUGAAUUCAAAUAGAAAUAUGAGACAAUGAAUUAUGGUAGUGACAAAGACCUUCCUUCGAAUUCCGGAUUUUUCUAGCAGCCCCUUUCUUUCUGCUUCCCACCUGCCUUCAACUCUUUCUCCUAAAAAAGUUCAGUUGGGGUGAACGUUUGAUGACUUAGAACAUCAUUAUUUUAACGUGAUCCCAAAGCGGUUUUCAUUAUAUGCAAAGCUGCAUAUUUAUUCACAUUUUAAAAAAUGUUCUAAAUUGGUUUCUUAUGUCCAAAAGAAGGGGAGCUAGUUAUAAGAAAAGAGAACUGAGUAACAUAAGAAAGUGCUAAUCAUUUCAAAUUAAAGUGGGAAACAUGCAAAGCAGAAAGAAUGAAUUUCAUAAACUCAACAAAUUAUUAACAUAAAUAAUUCCAAACUCUUGUAUCUAUAUAACAUCAGUGAUCUGUGAGGUGAAAUGAGAUUCUGAAGAAAAAGUAAAUAAUAAGGCCAUUUUUCUAAGCCAAAAAAGUUUUUGUCAUUAGUUGUGGAAUUUCACCAAUUAAUUUUUUUUCAAAUAAAACUUUCUUAAACUUUUACUGCCUACUAUUGCUUGUAGGUUAGUAAACCCUAGCAGAAAACAAAAUCAUUAAGGAAAUGGAAAACAAACAUUAAUGGGAAAUUUAUGUAAUCUUAAUUCUUAACGUGUCUUAUGAGUUAAUUUUUAAAAUGUGAAGGUUUAUUCUUGGUGUUUGGUAAUUAAGUUUAUUAAUCUCUCACAAAUAUGAGGAAUUUUAUUCCCUAAAGGAACGUGAGGAACACGAGUAGUUCAAGAAAAUGCUGAAGAUGCGCUUGGCUGGGAAGCUAGGAUAGGCUGACGAAGUCAGACUUAGUGUGGGAACCUGGUAAGCAGUGGAUCGAUGUUAGCUGUUUUCACUUAUUGCACUAGUAUAAUCAGUUUGAUGGUACAUACUUCAGCCCCAGCUGUUACUUAAGACCUGGUUUCACAUUUUAUGUUCUUUUUCUGUGCAGGCUGGGAAAGGGUUUCUUCUGUCCAUAAAAGCUACUCCAAUGGCUGUGGGAGACUUAAUUCCAAUUCCAGGUGAUACAGCCGUCAGUCUCCCACUAGCUGUAGGAUGGUGUGCUGCAGUUCACAGGUGUGGAUGCUCAAGUGGGCUUUCAAAGAUGUCAUGAGAGGGAGGGGUAAUGUAUUAGGCACAUUUUCCAAAUAUAGGCAUUUCAUUGUACAAGACCCCAAAUGUGAGAGGGUGUUUGUUUCAGUGUUUUAUAGAGUUCCUAAUAUGCCAUCAUAUAUACAUUCAGUUGUUUUCAAAAUACAGUUUAGUAUUUGGCUACUCACAAAGUAAUAAAACAUUUAAAUCACUUAACCAUACAAUUCUUGAUAACCAAAAGGCUUUUCUUUCUAUUCAGUAGUUUAACAUUCAGCUUUCUUUUUUAGGGCAAAGGAGAUAGAAGUGGAUGAAAUGACAGAGUAUUUUUUUAAUUGAACUCUGAUUAAUGCCAAAAGUGUUCAAUCACUAUGUGUGGGGAAGUUUCCUGGUACAAAGGAAAAAAAAACAGGUUGUUCAUACACUUGGCUGUGUUAGUAAGUGGUAAACAGAAUUAAACUUUUCUUAUGUGAACUCACACAUAUGUGCUUCAUAAUAUGUCACUCCUAUUUAACAUCUCUUUCACACACACAGUCAUCCCCCCCACACAUACCCUUUUGCUAGUCUUCUUCCAUUUUGCUUAUUAACCCAAAGAAAGAAAAAAAUAUGGAAGCCUUCUUGCAUAGGUUGCGUUAAUCAGAUGAAUUAUUGAAGCCACUCUGUCUAAAUAUUAUUUUCCCUUAUUUUUCCUUCAUUAGUUUCCCAUUCUGUUGUAUUUAUUUAAUUUUUAUUUCAUUUUCCAGACCUAAGUCAAUGUUAGUCUACCACUGUACGUCUGGUAACCUCAAUCCCUGCAACCGGAGCAAAAUGUGGAUUCCAGGUCUUGGCAACCUCUGAAAUUCCAACUCCAUUUGCGAGAGCUUUGAGGAGGCCAUAUGCUGAUUUCACCACAAGCAACUUCACAACCCAGUACUGGAAUGCCAUCAGCCAGCAGGCCCCUGCCAUUAUCUGUGACUUCUAUCUGUGGCUCAUUGGAAGGAAACCCAGGUGAGAAGCUGAGUCAAUGGCCUUGAGAAUGUCACUGCAUAUGGGAGAUUGAGGCCCCAAAGUCUUUAGGGCUUCCUUCAGCCAAAGAUUAAAGGAGACAGCUGAAUCUGACCCAUAUAUACAGAUUGAACACACCUACUCUGAAAAUCCAAAAUCUGAAAUUCUCCAAAAUCCAAAAAGUUUUGAGUGCUGACAUGAUGCCACAAGUGGAAAAUUCCACACAUCUUACCUCAUGUGAUGGGUCACAGUCAAAACACAUUCAAAACUUUGUUUCAUGCAUAAAAUUAUUUAAAAUAUUGUAUAAGAUUACCUUCAGGUUAUGUGUAUGUGGCUAAGUGUGUAUGAAAUGUAAGUGAAUUUUGUGUUUAGACAUGGGUCCCAUUCCCAAGAUACCUCAUUGCAUUGAAGCAAAUAUUCCAAAAUCUGAAAACAGUUGAAACCCAACACACUUCUGACCCAAGCAUUUCAGAUAAAGGAUACUCAAUCUGUGUAAGUUUUGAACAAACAAAGCAGUCAUAGUGAGAAGCCACAGAAGCCUCCUACAUUAAAAAUACUCCAGCAUAAUAAAGGAAGGUAAAUGUUAAAGCGCCUGCUUGAUGAAUUCAGCAAGUGAUCAUUCACACAAAAAGAAAACCAACUGAGACGCUGUCACUAGGGUUUUUCAAAUAGGUAGAGAAUCUUAAAUAUCCAGUAAUGAUGACAACCUCACUUACUGGGAGCUUACUCGUGGGGCUAAGGAGGAUGCGUGAUGAUCCCAUUUUUAUUGUCACAGCUACCGAAGGAAGAUACCCUCAUCAACCCAAUUUUACAAAUGGAGAAAUAGAAGCUCAGGGAAGAAUCUGAAGUAGUCUCAAAGGAAGUGACAGGAAGGAUGUGGAGAAAGCUGAGUGUCAAAGUCAGUAUUCAAGACCGGAUUUACUGCUACUUAGAGAUGAAUGAAGAAAUCAGAGGGAACGCAGUGUGCUGAUGCUAAAGCGGCUGUCACCACCCAGCUGUGUGACAUAGGACAUCUUCUUUCUCUGUCUCACUUGACUAAUAUGUUGUGUCAGGGGAGACAUGAUUGUAAUUGCCUAAAGCAAUUCUUGUGAUCAAGAAUCAGAAGCAUGAACAGUAUUGCCCUCUGUGUUAGCCCCUUUAUAAGGGAGGAAGUCAUCUUCAGCAUGCUGAAUUGUCAUCUUUCUUAGCAGUGCAAAUGACUAAAACUUAGCCAAUGUAGAGUUUGUCCAAAUUUGGAGCUCAUAACUCAGUUCUUGAGCAAAGUGAAAAGAAAACAUUGUGAUUAUGGGGAAAAUAUUUGUACGGGACUUAUCAAAUAAAGAUAGGAAAAGAAGAAAACUCAAAUAUUAUAGGCAGAAAUGCUAAAGGUUUUAAAAUAUGUCAGGAUUGGAAGAAGGCAUGGAUAAAGAACAAAGUUCAGUUAGGAAAGAGAAACACAGAAGGAAGAGACACAAUAAAAGUCAUUAUGUAUUCUGUGAGAAGUCAGACAGUAAGAUUUGUGGGAAAUGGGUUGGUUUGUUGUAUGGUAUGUAUUUUAGCAAUAAUCUUUAUGGCAGAGAAAGCUAAAAUCCUUUAGCUUGCGUGAAUGAUCACUUGCUGAAUUCCUCAAGGUAGGCAUGAUGAAGGAGGGUUUAGAGGAGACACAGACACAAUGAACUGACCUAGAUAGAAAGCCUUAGUAUACUCAGCUAGGAAUAGUGAUUCUGAGGGCACACUGUGACAUGAUUAUGUCAUUACAUGUAUGGUAGUGAUGGGGAUGAUAGAAGGAAGAACUUAUGGCAUAUUUUCACCCCCACAAAAAUCAGUUAAAUAUUGGGACACUAACCAUCCAGGUCAAGAAAAGUCACAUGCCAUAGCCAUGGUAUUGCACAUCAUUCAUCUUGCAUUCUUUGAGAAUAAGAAGAUCAGUAAAUAGUUCAGAAGUGGGAAGCUUUGUCCAGGCCUGUGUGUGAACCCAAUGUUUUGUUUAGAAAUAGAACAAGUAAGUUCAUUGCUAUAGCAUAACACAAAAUUUGCAUAAGUGGUGGUCAGCAAAUCCUUGAAUGCUGCUUAAUGUGAGAGGUUGGUAAAAUCCUUUGUGCAACACUCUAACUCCCUGAAUGUUUUGCUGUGCUGGGACCUGUGCAUGCCAGACAAGGCCAAGCUGGCUGAAAGAGCAACCAGCCACCUCUGCAAUCUGCCACCUCCUGCUGGCAGGAUUUGUUUUUGCAUCCUGUGAAGAGCCAAGGAGGCACCAGGGCAUAAGUCUACUCACUUAUAUCUGUUUGUCUGGAACAUAACCCAUGUUUGUUUUUACAACAAAUAAAAUUGAUCUUGAAUAAAAAG